UGGGGAAUAUUGCACAAUGGGCGCAAGCCUGAUGCAGCCAUGCCGCGUGUGUGAAGAAGGCCUUCGGGUUGUAAAGCACUUUCAGCGAGGAGGAAGGUGGUGAGCUUAAUACGCUCAUCAAUUGACGUUACUCGCAGAAGAAGCACCGGCUAACUCCGUGC
rnacentral:rRNA from 1 species